AUUGAACGCUGGCGGCAUGCCUUACACAUGCAAGUCGAACGGUAACAGGUCUUCGGAUGCUGACGAGUGGCGAACGGGUGAGUAAUACAUCGGAACGUGCCUAGUAGUGGGGGAUAACUACUCGAAAGAGUGGCUAAUACCGCAUGAGAUCUACGGAUGAAAGCAGGGGAUCGCAAGACCUUGUGCUACUAGAGCGGCCGAUGGCAGAUUAGGUAGUUGGUGGGAUAAAAGCUUACCAAGCCGACGAUCUGUAGCUGGUCUGAGAGGACGAUCAGCCACACUGGGACUGUGACACGGCCCAGACUCCAACGGGAGGCAGCAGUGGGGAAUUUUGGACAAUGGGCGAAAGCCUGAUCCAGCAAUGCCGCGUGCAGGAUGAAGGCCUUCGGGUUGUAAACUGCUUUUGUACGGAACGAAAAGCCCCGGGUUAAUACCCUGGGGUCAUGACGGUACCGUAAGAAUAAGCACCGGCUAACUACGUGCCAGCCGCCGCGGUAA
rnacentral:rRNA from 1 species